GGAAUUGACGGGGCCCGGCACAAGCGGUGGAGCAUGUGGUUUAAUUCGACGCAACGCGAAGAACCUUACCAGGGCUUGACAUCCCCUGACCGCGUAUGAAAGUACGUUUUCACCCUCGGGUGACAGGGAGACAGGUGGUGCAUGGGUUGUCGUCAGCUCGUGUCGUGAGAUGUUGGGUUAAGUCCCGCAACGAGCGCAACCCCUAUUGUUAGUUGCCAUCAUUCAGUUGGGCACUCUAGCGAGACUGCCGGUAAUAAACCGGAGGACGGUGGGAUGACGUCAAAUCAUCAUGCCCCUUAUGACCUGGGCUACACACGUGCUACAAUGGUUGGUACAACGAGUUGCGAGUCGGUGACGGCGAGCUAAUCUCUUAAAGCCAAUCUCAGUUCGGAUUGUAGGCUGCAACUCGCCUACAUGAAGUCGGAAUCGCUAGUAAUCGCGGAUCAGCAUGCCCGCGGUCGAAUACGUUCCCGGGCCUU
rnacentral:rRNA from 1 species